rnacentral:rRNA from 1 species
UACGGGGGGGGCAAGCGUUGUUCGGAAUUACUGGGCGUAAAGGGCGCGUAGGCGGUCGUGACAAGUCACUUGUGAAAUCUCCGGGCUUAACUCGGAACGGUCAAGUGAUACUGUCGGACUAGAGUACAGAAGGGGCAACUGGAAUUCUCGGUGUAGCGGUGAAAUGCGUAGAUAUCGAGAGGAACACCUGCGGCGAAGGCGGGUUGCUGGGCUGAUACUGACGCUGAGGCGCGAAGGCCAGGGGAGCAAACGGG